rnacentral:rRNA from 1 species
UACGUAGGGGGCUAGCGUUGCUCGGAAUUACUGGGCGUAAAGCGCACGUAGGCGGCUUUCUAAGUCGGGGGUGAAAUCCUGGAGCUCAACUCCAGAACUGCCUUCGAUACUGGAAAGCUCGAGUCCGGGAGAGGUGAGUGGAACUGCGAGUGUAGAGGUGAAAUUCGUAGAUAUUCGCAAGAACACCAGUGGCGAAGGCGGCUCACUGGCCCGGUACUGACGCUGAUGCGCCGAAAGCGUGGGUAGCAAACAGG